AUACUUGCCUUGCGCCAGGGCCUCGUUGGUCAUCGAGGAUGAGCCUCAGGGCGAGGCGCGGGCAUUGCACUGCGCUCGCGUUGACCCCUGCCAAUACCCCAAACUGGGGCAGAUGGAUCAUGCAAAUUCC
rnacentral:snRNA from 1 species